rnacentral:rRNA from 1 species
GAGUUUGAUUAUGGCUCAGGAUGAACGCUAGCUACAGGCUUAACACAUGCAAGUCGAGGGGCAGCAUGAAUAUUGGCUUGCCAAUAUUUGAUGGCGACCGGCGCACGGGUGAGUAACACGUAUCCAACCUUCCGGUUACUCGGGGAUAGGCUUUCGAAAGAAAGAUUAAUACCCGAUGUUGUGUAUCUUUCUCCUGAUUGAUACGCCAAAGGAUUCCGGUAACCGAUGGGGAUGCGUUCCAUUAGGCAGUUGGCGGGGUAACGGCCCACCAAACCUUCGAUGGAUAGGGGUUCUGAGAGGAAGGUCCCCCACAUUGGAACUGAGACACGGUCCAAACUCCUACGGGAGGCAGCAGUGAGGAAUAUUGGUCAAUGGACGGAAGUCUGAACCAGCCAAGUAGCGUGAAGGAUGACUGCCCUCUGGGUUGUAAACUUCUUUUAUACGGGAAUAACAUGAGGUACGGGUACCUUAUGGCAUGUAACCGUAUGAAUAAG